CAGUUCGGAUUGUAGGCUGAAACUCGCCUACAUGAAGCUGGAGUUACUAGUAAUCGCAGAUCAGAAUGCUGCGGUGAAUGCGUUCCCGGGUCUUGUACACACCGCCCGUCACACCACGGAAGUUGGGGGCGCCCGAAGCCACUUAGCUAACCCUUUUGGGAAGCGAGUGUCGAAGGUGAAAUCAAUAACUGGGGUGAAGUCGUAACAAGGUAUC
rnacentral:rRNA from 1 species